rnacentral:snoRNA from 1 species
UGCGUCUGGUGAGGAUAGAAAAAGGACAGGUUUCGCUAAAAUUAGCAGAACGAGAACAUGUCGAGAUACCUUGGCUGUCUGAGGACG